rnacentral:rRNA from 1 species
ACUCUAAGCGGUGGAUCACUCGGCUCAUGGGUCGAUGAAGAACGCAGCAAACUGUGCGUCAUCGUGUGAACUGCAGGACACAUGAACAUCGACAUUUUGAACGCAUAUCGCAGUCCAUGCUGUUAUGUACUUUAAUUAAUUUUAUAGUGCUGCUUGGACUACAUAUGGUUGAGGGUUGUAAGACUAUGCUAAUUAAGUUGCUUAUAAAUUUUUAUAAGCAUAUGGUAUAUUAUUGGAUAAAUAUAAUAAUUUUUAUUCAUAAUAUUAAAAAUAAAUGAAAAACAUUAUCUCACAUUUGAAUGUGAAAAACGAAGAGAAAUAUUUUCUUUUUCAAUCAAAUAAUACUGAGAAAUGUCUAGCAUAAAAAAUUGAAAUAUUUUUCAUCUAGAAUUGUCUCUUAUUAAUGAUUCGGAAAUAGAAAAAUCUUGGUUAUGUUAUUAUUCUUCGUUGGUUCGUUAAAAAUGGAUAAAUAAAAACUUUGCAUACAAGAAUUAAUAAAAAUGUUAUAACGAAUUUAAUUAAAUGUUUUAUCAUUAUAUAUAAAGAAUUUAUGGCAAGAUAAAGUUAUAUACAACCUCAACUCAUAUGGGACUACCCCCUGAAUUUAAGCAUAUUAAUUAGGGGAGGAAAAGAAACUAACAAGGAUUUUCUUAGUAGCGGCGAGCGAAAAGAAAACAGUUCAGCACUAAGUCACUUUGUCUAUAUGGCAAAUGUGAGAUGCAGUGUAUGGAGCGUCAAUAUUCUAGUAUGAGAAAUUAACGAUUUAAGUCCUUCUUAAAUGAGGCCAUUUACCCAUAGAGGGUGCCAGGCCCGUAUAACGUUAAUGAUUACUAGAUGAUGUUUCCAAAGAGUCGUGUUGCUUGAUAGUGCAGCACUAAGUGGGUGGUAAACUCCAUCUAAAACUAAAUAUAACCAUGAGACCGAUAGUAAACAAGUACCGUGAGGGAAAGUUGAAAAGAACUCUGAAUAGAGAGUUAAACAGUACGUGAAACUGCUUAGAGGUUAAGCCCGAUGAACCUGAAUAUCCGUUAUGGAAAAUUCAUCAUUAAAAUUGUAAUAUUUAAAUAAUAUUAUGAGAAUAGUGUGCAUUUUUUCCAUAUAAGGACAUUGUAAUCUAUUAGCAUAUACCAAAUUUAUCAUAAAAUAUAACUUAUAGUUUAUUCCAAUUAAAUUGCUUGCAUUUUAACACAGAAUAAAUGUUAUUAAUUUGAUAAAGUGCUGAUAGAUUUAUAUGAUUACAGUGCGUUAAUUUUUCGGAAUUAUAUAAUGGCAUAAUUAUCAUUGAUUUUUGUGUUUAUUAUAUGCACUUGUAUGAUUAACAAUGCGAAAGAUUCAGGAUACCUUCGGGACCCGUCUUGAAACACGGACCAAGGAGUCUAACAUAUGUGCAAGUUAUUGGGAUAUAAACCUAAUAGCGUAAUUAACUUGACUAAUAAUGGGAUUAGUUUUUUAGCUAUUUAUAGCUAAUUAACACAAUCCCGGGGCGUUCUAUAUAGUUAUGUAUAAUGUAUAUUUAUAUUAUUUAUGCCUCUAACUGGAACGUACCUUGAGCAUAUAUGCUGUGACCCGAAAGAUGGUGAACUAUACUUGAUCAGGUUGAAGUCAGGGGAAACCCUGAUGGAAGACCGAAACAGUUCUGACGUGCAAAUCGAUUGUCAGAAUUGAGUAUAGGGGCGAAAGACCAAUCGAACCAUCUAGUAGCUGGUUCCUUCCGAAGUUUCCCUCAGGAUAGCUGGUGCAUUUUAAUAUUAUAUAAAAUAAUCUUAUCUGGUAAAGCGAAUGAUUAGAGGCCUUAGGGUCGAAACGAUCUUAACCUAUUCUCAAACUUUAAAUGGGUAAGAACCUUAACUUUCUUGAUAUGAAGUUCAAGGUUAUGAUAUAAUGUGCCCAGUGGGCCACUUUUGGUAAGCAGAACUGGCGCUGUGGGAUGAACCAAACGUAAUGUUACGGUGCCCAAAUUAACAACUCAUGCAGAUACCAUGAAAGGCGUUGGUUGCUUAAAACAGCAGGACGGUGAUCAUGGAAGUCGAAAUCCGCUAAGGAGUGUGUAACAACUCACCUGCCGAAGCAACUAGCCCUUAAAAUGGAUGGCGCUUAAGUUGUAUACCUAUACAUUACCGCUAAAGUAGAUGAUUUAUAUUACUUGUGAUAUAAAUUUUGAAACUUUAGUGAGUAGGAAGGUACAAUGGUAUGCGUAGAAGUGUUUGGCGUAAGCCUGCAUGGAGCUGCCAUUGGUACAGAUCUUGGUGGUAGUAGCAAAUAAUCGAAUGAGACCUUGGAGGACUGAAGUGGAGAAGGGUUUCGUGUGAACAGUGGUUGAUCACGAGUUAGUCGGUCCUAAGUUCAAGGCGAAAGCCGAAAAUUUUCAAGUAAAACAAAAAUGCCUAACUAUAUAAACAAAGCGAAUUAUAAUACACUUGAAUAAUUUUGAACGAAAGGGAAUACGGUUCCAAUUCCGUAACCUGUUGAGUAUCCGUUUGUUAUUAAAUAUGGGCCUCGUGCUCAUCCUGGCAACAGGAACGACCAUAAAGAAGCCGUCGAGAGAUAUCGGAAGAGUUUUCUUUUCUGUUUUAUAGCCGUACUACCAUGGAAGUCUUUCGCAGAGAGAUAUGGUAGAUGGGCUAGAAGAGCAUGACAUAUACUGUUGUGUCGAUAUUUUCUCCUCGGACCUUGAAAAUUUAUGGUGGGGACACGCAAACUUCUCAACAGGCCGUACCAAUAUCCGCAGCUGGUCUCCAAGGUGAAGAGUCUCUAGUCGAUAGAAUAAUGUAGGUAAGGGAAGUCGGCAAAUUAGAUCCGUAACUUCGGGAUAAGGAUUGGCUCUGAAGAUUGAGAUAGUCGGGCUUGAUUGGGAAACAAUAACAUGGUUUAUGUGCUCGUUCUGGGUAAAUAGAGUUUCUAGCAUUUAUGUUAGUUACUUGUUCCCCGGAUAGUUUAGUUACGUAGCCAAUUGUGGAACUUUCUUGCUAAAAUUUUUAAGAAUACUAUUUGGGUUAAACCAAUUAGUUCUUAUUAAUUAUAACGAUUAUCAAUUAACAAUCAAUUCAGAACUGGCACGGACUUGGGGAAUCCGACUGUCUAAUUAAAACAAAGCAUUGUGAUGGCCCUAGCGGGUGUUGACACAAUGUGAUUUCUGCCCAGUGCUCUGAAUGUCAAAGUGAAGAAAUUCAAGUAAGCGCGGGUCAACGGCGGGAGUAACUAUGACUCUCUUAAGGUAGCCAAAUGCCUCGUCAUCUAAUUAGUGACGCGCAUGAAUGGAUUAACGAGAUUCCUACUGUCCCUAUCUAUCCCUAUCCCUAUCUGCGAAUGCAGUGUCCCCCAUGUGGCUUAGCAAACUCUCUCGUCAUGCCGAGGGGCAAGCUAACUACAGACGGGGUGAGCUGCUGUCAGAGUGGAUGCUGGAGGCAAGAGUCGCCGCCCUAAACCAGUCAACAGAGGUGUACACGUUCGAUAAUCACAGAGCGACUAGUGAUAUCGACGUGACAAUCGUCAAUGAAGCAGCAUCUAUGUGGGCCACAUAUGAGUGGAGAGUGGACGAGUGGGAAUUGAGUGACCACAACAUCAUUACUGUUGUGGCCGAACCAACUACCGCGCGCGCAGUUGAGAGCAUAGCUCCUGUGCCGUCCUGGAACUUCUCCAAUGCACGUUGGCGAUUGUUCAAGGAGGAAAUUGUGAGUAGAAUAGCCGAACUUCCGGAAAACUUUUCAGAGUCGCCGUUGGACCAGCAAGUUUCGACCCUGCGCAGUAUAGUACAUAGUGUAUGUGAUACUGCGCUAGGAAGGAAGUUGACUCGAUCGCCCAGCAGGAGAGCACGUUGGUGGACUGCCGACCUCUGCGCUGCAAGGCGCGAAGUCCGAAGACUUCGUCGCCUGCUCCAAGAUGGAAGGCGUCGAGAUGACGAUGCCGCUGUAGAGCUUGU